GGAUUGGUGGAUGUUGUCCAUAAAGAUCAGUCACAAGUCUCCUUAGGUCCAUGUGGAAGAUCCAGGGGUUUUCAUGGUGUGGAGUAGUGCCAUAGUUUUCAACAAGCAUGAUAUGAUGCAUGAAAAUUAUUUUCAUUCUUAUUAUAUGCAUAUUUCAUGUCAUGUAAGUGUUAGGAUAUGUAUGGGACUAGUUUAAGAUCCUUAAUUA
rnacentral:lncRNA from 1 species